UAGACAAAGCCUAGAGAAAGUUUCUCAGU
rnacentral:piRNA from 1 species